rnacentral:rRNA from 1 species
GCGACCCCAGGAUGGGCGAGGCCACCCGCCGAGUUUAAGCAUAUCAAUAAGCGGAGGAGAAGAAAUUACGAGGAUCCCCUA